AUUGAACGCUGGCGGCAGGCUUAACACAUGCAAGUCGAGCGGAGUGAUGGUGCUUGCACUAUCACUUAGCGGCGGACGGGUGAGUAAUGCUUAGGAAUCUGCCAUUUAGUGGGGGACAACAUUCCGAAAGGAAUGCUAAUACCGCAUACGUCCUACGGGAGAAAGCAGGGGAUCUUCGGACCUUGCGCUAAAUGAUGAGCCUAAGUCGGAUUAGCUAGUUGGUGGGGUAAAGGCCUACCAAGGCGACGAACUGUAGCGGGUCUGAGAGGAUGCUCCGACACACUGGGACUGAGACACGGCCCAGACUCCUACGGGAGGCAGCAGUGGGGAAUAUUGGACAAGGGGCUGAAGCCUAAUCCAACCAUGCCGCGUGGGUGAAGAAGGCCUUUUGGUUGUAAAGCACUUUAAGCGAGGAGGAGGCUACUAGUACUAAUACUACUGGAUAGUGGACGUUACUCGCAGAAUAAGCACCGGCUAACUCUGUGCCAGCCGCCGCAGUAAAAC
rnacentral:rRNA from 1 species